AGGACGUGGGAGGGUGCCAUAUGCCUCGGGGAGCUGUCAACCGAGCGUUGAUCCGAGGAUUUCCGAAUGGGGAAACCCAGCACGAGUUAUGUCGUGUUACCCGUAUCUGAAUAUAUAGGGUACGGGAGGGAACGCGGGGAAGUGAAACAUCUCAGUACCCGUAGGAAGAGAAAACAAAAGUGAUUCCGCUAGUAGUGGCGAGCGAACGUGGAACAUGGCUAAACCGCACGCAUGCGAUACCGGGUAGGGUUGUGUGUGCGGGGUUGUGGGAAUGAUACGUCUCAGUUCUACCUGGCUGAGGGACAGUCAAAAAGUGUCGUGAUUAGCGGAAGUGGCCUGGGAUGGUCUGCCGCAGACGGUGAGAGCCCGGUACGCGAAAAUCCGACACCUGUCUUGUAUCACCUCCCGAGUAGCAGCGGGCUCGUGGAAUCUGCUGUGAAUCUGCCGGGACCACCCGGUAAGCCUAAAUACUUCUCGAUGACCGAUAGCGGAUUAGUACCGUGAGGGAAUGGUGAAAAGUACCCCGGGAGGGGAGUGAAAUAGUACCUGAAACCGUGUGCCUACAAUCCGUCAGAGCCUCCUUGUGGGGUGAUGGCGUGCCUUUUGAAGAAUGAGCCUGCGAGUCAGGGACAUGUCGCAAGGUUAACCCGUGUGGGGUAGCCGCAGCGAAAGGAGUCUGAAUAGGGCGCUUGAGUGGCAUGUUCUGGACCCGAAGCGGAGUGAUCUACCCAUGGCCAGGGUGAAGCGCGGGUAAGACCGCGUGGAGGCCCGAACCCACUUAGGUUGAAGACUGAGGGGAUGAGCUGUGGGUAGGGGUGAAAGGCCAAUCAAACUCCGUGAUAGCUGGUUCUCCCCGAAAUGCAUUUAGGUGCAGCGUUACGUGUUUCACCACGGAGGUAGAGCUACUGGAUGGCCGAUGGGCCCUAUCUAGGUUACCUGACGUCAGCCAAACUCCGAAUGCCGUGGUGUAUAGUCGUGGCAGUGAGACGGCGGGAGCAUAAGCUCCGUGCGUCGAGAGGGAAACAGCCCAGAUCGCCGACUAAGGCCCCUAAGCGUGUGCUAAGUGGAAAAGGAUGUGCAGUCGCAGAGACAACCAGGAGGUUGGCUUAGAAGCAGCCACCCUUGAAAGAGUGCGUAAUAGCUCACUGGUCAAGUGAUUGUGCGCCGAUAAUGUAGCGGGGCUCAAGCACACCGCCGAAGUCGCGGCAACCGCAAGGUUGGGUAGGGGAGCGUCCCCCAUGCAGCGAAGCUGUCGGGUAACCGAUGGUGGAGUUUGGGGGAGUGAGAAUGCAGGCAUGAGUAGCGAUAAGGCAAGUGAGAACCUUGCCCGCCGAAAGACCAAGGGUUCCUGGGCCAGGCCAGUCCGCCCAGGGUGAGUCGGGACCUAAGGCGAGGCCGACAGGCGUAGUCGAUGGACAACGGGUUGAUAUUCCCGUACCCGUGUAUGAGCGUCCCUGACGAAUCCAUUCUGCUAACCACCCAAAUGGCGGUCUAUCAAUCCCUUCGGGGUGCGAAGAUCGCCGGCUGCGUGGGACCCGGGUGGGUAGUAGUCAAGCAAUGGGGUGACGCAGGAAGGUAGCCGUACCAGUCAGUGGUAAUACUGGGGCAAGCCUGUAGGGAGAGCGAUAGGCAAAUCCGUCGCUCAUGUUCCUGAGAGGUGAUGCAUAGCCGAUUGAGGCGAAUUCGGUGAUCCUCAGCUGCCAAGAAAAGCCUCUAGCGAGCGCAUACAUGGCCCGUACCCCAAACCAACACAGGUGGUCAGGUAGAGAAUACCAAGGCGUACGAGAUAACUAUGGUUAAGGAACUCGGCAAAAUGCCCCCGUAACUUCGGGAGAAGGGGGGCCGGCUUACCGUGAACAGCCUUGCGCUGGGAGCGGGAACCGGCCGCAGAAACCAGUGGGAAGCGACUGUUUACUAAAAACACAGGUCCGUGCGAAGUCGCAAGACGAUGUAUACGGACUGACGCCUGCCCGGUGCUGGAAGGUUAAGAGGACCCGUUAACUCGUAAGGGUGAAGCGGAGAAUUUAAGCCCCAGUAAACGGCGGUGGUAACUAUAACCAUCCUAAGGUAGCGAAAUUCCUUGUCGGGUAAGUUCCGACCUGCACGAAUGGCGUAACGACUUCCCAACUGUCUCAACCAUAGACUCGGCGAAAUUGCACUACGAGUAAAGAUGCUCGUUACGCGCGGCAGGACGAAAAGACCCCGGGACCUUCACUACAACUUGGUAUUGGUGUUCGGUACUGUUUGUGUAGGAUAGGUGGGAGACUGUGAAGCUCGGACGCCAGUUCGAGUGGAGUCGUUGUUGAAAUACCACUCUGACCGUAUUGGACACCUAACUUCGAACCCUAUCGGUCAGACG
rnacentral:rRNA from 1 species